AGCUGCCAUGUCUACAAUAAAUAAAUAAUAAAAUUAAAUUAAUUAAAAUAUAUAUAUGAUCAAUUCAAUAUGAAAUUAAUUUAAGUAUAAAAUUUUUAUCAAUCUAUCGAUCACAAUAUGUGUGCCAACGGAGCAUCGGUUGCUUGAUCGGAUCUUGCUGGACGGUCUGAUUGUGUUGUGCCUUCUACCGCUUACCAAAGGACUCCUUAGUGCUCCAUC
rnacentral:lncRNA from 1 species